rnacentral:lncRNA from 1 species
CAAUGAUCUCACACAGUGAUUCUAGAAGUAACCAGGGUACUGCCUCCCAAGGUUCUUUGUGCACCCUAGUCAUCCUGCUGUACUAGUCCCAUCUCUCAGAGGUUGCUUUACUCUCACUGGUCAACAUGUGCUGCCAAGACUUCCAGAGAAGCUUCACUACCCAAUGCUCACUGGCAUAAGAAAGCCAUGACCAUGGCUUAUGUGCAAUUUCUGUGUUCACCCAAAAGGAUGUCAUUUUCCAGGAGCCGAUGGGCACCAUGCAUACAAAAAGCUGAGUCAAUAUAAAAGUUCUAUUAGCUUGAAAUGGAGAAAACACAUUUUCUUGAAAGAUGGAAAUUCCAAUGAUUGCCCGAUGAACAAAUACCAUCAAGGAUCUCCAUUUAUUUUAGCUGAAAUUUAGAAUAUGUAUUCGAAGAUCAGCCUUAACUCCCAACAACAAAAAAACGGUCUAGUAAUAUAUGCAAGGCCAUAAGAGUGUCUGUUGCUUGCAUCCUUGGGAGUCUGGAAGGAUAAAAUCAUCAGUGCGAUGAAACAAUUUCCCUGAAGAAGGGCAUGAAAGGUCACCAGCACUUGGUUCUAUCCGAGAGCCCUGAUCCAUUGGCCUAUGGAACUUGCUAAUUCUCAGAACCACAAUGACAAAAAUCAUAGUUGUUACUGGUAUUCUCUUGUCCCUUUGAGUCCUCAAUCUCAAUAUAUUAAACCACCAGAUGAAGUAGUCGGGUAAGUAAUCCUUUUGGCCUAAAACAUAGGAAGGAAAAGCCAAAAACUAUUUUUGUG